rnacentral:lncRNA from 1 species
AAGUACUAAUGAGAUUCUUGAGGUGGCAGUCACCUACUUUCACUUACAAGCUUGUUUCCAUUUUAUUUUAAUUUUUUCUUUUUAAUCCCUAUUUUUGUAUGGACCAAUUCUUUUGAAUUGUGGUCCAUAGUGAUGCCUUAACUUUUGCCUAAGUCAACUCCUUUUUAGUUUUUGACUUAGCGGGCUUUUUUGAAACAUGAUGCCCUAACUUUUUCCUAAGUCAAAUUUUCAGAGUCUUUU